rnacentral:rRNA from 1 species
UGUUCGAAAGGGAAACAGCCCAGACCACCAGCUAAGGUCCCAAAAUAUAUGUUAAGUGGAAAAGGAUGUGGCGUUGCCCAGACAACUAGGAUGUUGGCUUAGAAGCAGCCAUCAUUUAAAGAGUGCGUAAUAGCUCACUAGUCGAGUGACACUGCGCCGAAAAUGUACCGGGGCUAAACAUAUUACCGAAGCUGUGGAUUGUCCUUUGGACAAUGGUAGGAGAGCGUUCUAAGGGCGUUGAAGCAUGAUCGUAAGGACAUGUGGAGCGCUUAGAAGUGAGAAUGCCGGUGUGAGUAGCGAAAGACGGGUGAGAAUCCCGUCCACCGAUUGACUAAGGUUUCCAGAGGAAGGCUCGUCCGCUCUGGGUUAGUCGGGU